UCAAAAUACUCGAGUCACUGAGAUGAACCAAACGCCUCAGCGCUACCGAGCAUCAGCAGAUAGAAUGGUUUUGGAUAAUCCUCGCAUAUCAUCAGCACUCAGCAACGCGCAUACGUCACCCCUCUCUUCUCUUGCAGACUCAUGGACUAAACCAGCAGCAGCAGCAGCAGCACCACUGACAGCUCCGUCGCAUCCUACUGCAUUAACUGGAGCGACAAAACGGCACAGCCUUGACAUUUAGGAAAACGUCCAGCCUAAAACAGCUGCAGCCUGUUCUGUCCCAGGACUCGGACAUCAGUGGUGUACACAUGAUGCAAGAAAAGAGGCACACCCAUCUCUGCACUCUUUCUACAGCAGUCUUAUCUUGUUCUUUGUUACUGCACUGCUAUGUUGAAACGCGUUAGAUAUGACUGAUGUCGAGGUGACAUAUGAAGACUUCAUUGCUUCUGGAAGGACCGGCAGACGCAAUGCUGUACACGACAUCCUGGGAACCUCCUUCGGCCUGGACGCUAGCGGACUUUCCCAAACUCUGUCUGAGCUUAAUAUUAGCAAAGAAGAGGCAGGGAAUGAUGAAGAGAAAAGCCAGAGCUUGGCAAACUCCGAACCGAAGCAGGAAGAAGGCAAAGGGGAAGGUACAUAAAAGACUUCAGUGACAGAAUCAGGAAAUACCCCCUCUAGUGGCUGAUUUUAAAACUGAGCUUGGAGGGGUUGACACUGAAAAAAGCGGAGCAUCCCUCUCGCUUAAGGAUCCGGAUGGAGGAGAUUUUGCUUUGAGGAAGUUACUGUGAAAGGCUGGGCCUUAAGAAUCACAGCACUGCUGUUUUACGACAUGCUGAUUUAGCUGAUGUAGGUAUGAUUUUUACUUAGAAAUUCGCUCUAGUUGUUUGGUACUUAGAGCGACUGGUGGGAAUUUGGGUCAGAAGUAAUGACAUUAGAAUGGCGAAGAUGCUCCUUGGAGAUCUCAUGGAUCUUAUUUGGAACGACACCCACUGAACUCAUGAUUUCGGAUUCACCAAUUAACUGCCAGAGUAGCACAGCUAAUACACACUCAAUAUACAGUCAUUUUAUUGGUGUAGUGUUGUAAUAGUAAUAUCAGAUUUUGAUAUUAAAUUGUGCUGUCUUUGAUAUCACGUUGAUAUUCACAUAAUAUAAGUGCUGCACUUUUGUUAAACACUCACUGAAUUCAGAUAAAACUGUCUAUGAUGGUCUUGCAUGGCACUGCUCCUGAUAGAAUACCUGUGUGUAACUGUUCACAUCCCACAAAGGACUAAUCAUUUGUGAUCCGAACCUUUGCAGUGUGUGGUGAUGCUAAUUUCUUGACUGUUUUAUGAUGAAAAUUCUUCUUGUAUUAUGAAAUCUAGCGUGAUUUGAAGUCUCACUGACACUGCCUAUUAACCCUUUUGAAAAUCUGUUCAAUAGAGCUUGCCUUA